rnacentral:lncRNA from 1 species
AGAAAUAACCAAGAACACAGUACGUAUGUGGAUCGAAAGCGCUAACUAAUUAUUCUAAAAGUACGUACUGAUAGGAAAAAAACACUCACCGUAUUUAAGAAUUCAGUUACAGCACUUACGGGCUUUGACCUGACUCAAUCCAUCCAGAGGUUCGGUCUAUUAUUUUGGUGUCUCUUAUCGUUAGAUCUCUUAUAGAUCGCAGUCCUAUUCAACUUAAUUAUUAGUCUCAUCCAACUCAACUUAUUAAUCUUAUAUUGUUACGAGGCAAGGAAGCUAGACUCUUUUUGUCUCAAUAAUUAAUAGCCAACGGUGUACAGUGAAAGGGAGGAAUUUGCAACCCCUAGGUGCGUCGGCCGUCGAAAGAAUGCAACUCCACAUGCAGCUACUGUUGGCUUAGAUGAGCCAGCAUUCUACCCUGUGUGGACUGAGUCAGGUUCGAAUAGGCGUGAGGCUGGGUUUGACCGAGUUAUGUUUGAAUUGGCAUGAGGCUGAUUAAACUGAGUCACAAUCGAGAUCUGUGAGCAUUGUAUCUGUACGUCUUAAGUGAAUUGAUUGCGUAUUUAUAAUAUCUCGAACUUUUGAAAUUAAUGGUUAGCACCAAUGAUCGAACAGCUCCAAGGCCUCUACAAGCCCCUACAAGCCCUUGAUCUCUUUCUACAACAUUAAUCCUUU